rnacentral:rRNA from 1 species
GUGCCAGCCGCCGCGGUAAUACCGGCAGCCCGAGUGAUGGCCGAUCUUAUUGGGCCUAAAGCGUCCGUAGCUGGCCGCGCAAGUCCAUCGGGAAAUCCACCCGCCCAACGGGUGGCCGUCCGGUGGAAACUACACGGCUUGGGACCGGAAGGCGCGACGGGUACGUCCAGGGUAGGAGUGAAAUCCCAUAAUCCCGCACGGACCACCGAUGGCGAAAGCACUUCGAGAAAACGGAUCCGACAGUGAGGGACGAAAGCCAGGGUCUCCAACCGGAUUAGAAACCCGUGUAGUCC